rnacentral:rRNA from 1 species
CCUACGGGUGGCUGCAGUGGGGGAUAUUGCACAAUGGGGGGAACCCUGAUGCAGCGACGCCGCGUGGGUGAAGAAGCGCCUCGGCGCGUAAAGCCCUGUCAGCAGGGAAGAAAAUGACGGUACCUGAAGCAGAAGCCCCGGCUAACUACGGGCCAGCAGCCGCGGUAAUACGUAGGGGGCAAGCGUUAUCCGGGUUUACUGGGUGUAAAGGGGGCGCAGGCGGCGAUGCAAGCCAGGAGUGAAAGCCCGGGGCCCAACCCCGGGACUGCUCUUGAAACUGCGUGGCUAGAGGGCGGGAGGGGCAGGCGGAAUGCGUGGUGUAGCGGUGAAAUGCGUAGAUAUCAGGAGGAACACCGGUGGCGAAGGCGGCCUGCUGGACUGCAACUGACGUUGAGGCCCGAAAGCGUGGGGAGCGAACAGGAUUAGAUACCCCAGUAGUC